GACGAACGCUGGCGGCGUGCUUAACACAUGCAAGUCGAACGGAAAGGCCCUGCUUUUGUGGGGUGCUCGAGUGGCGAACGGGUGAGUAACACGUGAGUAACCUGCCCUUGACUUUGGGAUAACUUCAGGAAACUGGGGCUAAUACCGGAUAGGAGCUCCUGCUGCAUGGUGGGGGUUGGAAAGUUUCGGCGGUUGGGGAUGGACUCGCGGCUUAUCAGCUUGUUGGUGGGGUAGUGGCUUACCAAGGCUUUGACGGGUAGCCGGCCUGAGAGGGUGACCGGCCACAUUGGGACUGAGAUACGGCCCAGACGCCUACGGGAGGCAGCAGUGGGGAGUAUGGCACAAUGGGCGGAGGCCUGAUGCAGCAACGCCGCGUGCGGGAUGACGGCCUUCGGGGUGUAAACCGCUUUCGCCGGUGACGAACCGGGAGUGACGGUAAUGGGUAAAGAAGCACCGGCUAACGACGUG
rnacentral:rRNA from 1 species